rnacentral:lncRNA from 1 species
AAUUAAACUGUGAUGGUUUCGCUUUGUAAUGUCUACAAAGCCACGAAAGCAUUGGGGUGUCUUGCCAGGACUCCACUGGAUGCAUAUGUGCAAGAAAUCAUCAUCUAUGCAGAGCUUCAAUACUGGGAGUGCUGCAGAAUAGAAGACAAUUCCUGUUUUAAGUGCAUUAAGGAUGUGCGCUGCCCUAGGAGGCCAACAAGCCAGCUGCAAGCAGGAAAAUCCGAGAAAACACAAGCCCUUAUCAAAGCCUCAUGGCUGCCAUGGCUGUGGGGCUCUUGGAGAUCGAGGACUUACUGUAAAGCACAGGCCAGUGCUGCUGGGUUCCAUCACGUGUUCUCCUUCUUUGUAUUAUUGACCAUGAAGACAGUUGUGACAUUCCAGCUCCAUUAGUACCUGGUGCAUUACUUUCUAGCUUUGCUUGGGAGGACGGAGAUGGAAUGGAGAUUACAGAGGAGAGGUGUUUGGUCAGAACGUUGGGACUGAGGCGCAGCAUCUAUCUCUAUCUCUAUCUCUAUCUCUACCUCUCCAGGAAAAGAGGGUCAUAUAGGGCUGCCAACAGGAUACUUGUAAGCAUCCUACAGGAAAAAAAGCUUAGUAAACUCCGAAGUGGGUUUUCUUUAAAGCAAGAAAGUUUUGGAAACCUGAGGAUUUUUCUAGAAUUAGCAUCACAUACGCAAAAUGAAAUUCUUUCCCUGGGGCACAGCACCAGCUUACUAUAAUUAACUAAGAACUGCGAACUGCAAGCUGCUGAGAAGCCACAGGGUACUACUACCAGACCCAGACGUUAAAUAUCCAGAGAAAAUUUAAGCAGUGCUAAUAGCAGUUGUGGAAGCUGAGAGAGUUGCUUUACUUGUGCCUAAGUGUUUAUAAUUUAUUAGUUAUCUUUCCUAUACUGCAUCAUUUAAAAUGUGCAUAAAUGUUAGUUACUCAUGAAUUGAUGACAUUAAUGUUUUGUUACUUUAAUGGGAUUAUAUUUAAUUAAUUAAUUAAUUUUUAUAUUACUGGGGAUUGAACUCAGGGCCUUUUUAUUUUGGGACAGAAUCUCUGUAAAUUGCUAAAUUGCC